GGGGGGGUAAAGUAACAGCAUUUUUGGAUUACAAACAUUCAGGGGAAAAAGGUGUCAGGGGAACCCCCACAGGAAGUCACGGCGCUUCACAACAGGAAGUCACGGCGCUUCCCAACAGGAAGUCACUGCGCUUCCCAACAGGAAGUCACUGCGCUUCUCAACAGGAAGUCACUGCGCUUCUCAACAGGAAGUCACUGCGCUUCUCAACAGGAAGUCACUGCGCUUCUCAACAGGAAGUCACUGCGCUUCUCAACAGGAAGUCACUGCAGCUUUUUCUGGUUACGUGUUAACUGCCAAAAUCAGGGGUUUUAAGUUUAUACAAAGAACUGAGGAAAACAUGCUCUCAAGGGAAGACGGUCUAAUAAAUCAUAUUCAUUAGACCGUACUGUAUCAUAUAGGUUAGUCUGAUAUACAUUAGACCAUACUAUAUCAUAUAGGUUAGUCUAUAUCAUAUAGGUUAGUCUGAUAUACAUUAGACCAUACUAUAUCAUAUAGAUUAGUCUAUAUCAUAUAGGUUAGUCUGAUAUACAUUAGACCAUACUAUAUCAUAUAGGUUAGUCUAUAUCAUAUAGGUUAGUCUGAUAUACAUUAGACCAUGCUAUAUCAUAUAGGUUAGUCUAUAUCAUAUAGGUUAGUCUGAUAUACAUUAGACCAUACUAUAUCAUAUAGGUUAGUCUAUAUCAUAUAGGUUAGUCUGAUAUACAUUAGACCAUACUAUAUCAUAUAGAUUAGUCUAUAUCAUAUAGGUUAGUCUGAUAUACAUUAGACCAUACUAUCAUAUAGGUUAGUCUAUAUCAUAUAGGUUAGUCUGAUAUACAUUAGACCAUACUAUAUCAUAUAGGUUAGUCUAUAUCAUAUAGGUUAGUCUGAUAUACAUUAGACCAUACUAUCAUAUAGGUUAGUCUAAUAUAAAUUAGACGAAACUAUAUCAGAUAUAUCUAUAUUUAUAUCUAUAUAUAUCAUAUAAUAAUGUGUGUGUAUAUAUGUAUGUAUACAUAUGUUAACUUAUAUGUAUACAUUUGUGUAUGUAUAUACACACACAUGUGUAUACAUAUGUGUGUAUGUGUACAUAUGUAAUUAUUGUGUAUAUAUAUAUAUAUAUGUAUAUAACUGUGUAUGUAUCCCUCCGGUGGUCCAGGCUCCUCCUCUGACCUCUGACCUUGACCUGGUUUUGUCUACUUGAGACUUUUAAACUAAACGGCCUUGUGUGUGUUUUUACUUUUCUAUGUUUGAGUGGUUUGUAAAUCCCUAGUGGAGGAACCGGGGUUCCUCUACCUGGUCCCGGGGGGGGCCCUGGGGGGGGCUCCACACCACACCACACCAGCCCCGUGUGGACACGUAGCCACGAUGGACUGUUGCUCAAUUAUGCUCUCAUCCGCAACACCAGGCUUUCCCACACCUGCCAAAUAAAGGGCCGGCCAGGCUCGGGGGGCCGGACCCUGGUUCCGGACCCCGAGGGUGCUGACCCCUGCCCCACCAGUCGCCCCCGACGACCACAGAGCUGUGGGAGGGGGGGGAGGGGCCCAGCACGGUCUUCGGGGACAAGCUCCGCCCUCACAGGAAGUACAGACCCAUGUGUCGGAGGUUGGGUGAUGCAGCGCCGUCGUAUUCAGGGUCAGACUCCUCCCCCCGCCGCCGCCCAGAGCUGGUUAGACCUUUAUACCGGGUCGGGGGGCUCCGGGACCAGGACCAAGGGCUUCAGGGACCAGGACCCGGGGCCCCAGGGUCCAGGACUCUGACCGGUCUGAGGGGGGACCCGGGCCGGGCCUCAGGGCGGACCUCCACCUGCGCUUCACUUCAAACGUCGGUGCCAAGGAGCUCAGGGCCUCUGAGCCUCAGGGCCUCUGAGCCUCAGGGCCUCUGCUCAGGAGCCGAACCUUCAACUUAUUUAUUACGGUUGGACUCUUUAUCGAUUUAUUUCUUUUGUUUUGUCUAAGUGAAGGAAUAAAGAUUUUUAAACCAA
ensembl:lncRNA